rnacentral:rRNA from 1 species
CCUACGGGAGGCUGCAGUGGGGAAUAUUGGACAAUGGGGGGAACCCUGAUCCAGCCAUGCCGCGUGUGUGAAGAAGGCCCUCGGGUUGUAAAGCACUUUCAGUGAGGAAGAACGCCUGGUGGUUAAUACCCAUCAGGAAAGACAUCACUCACAGAAGAAGCACCGGCUAACUCCGUGCCAGCAGCCGCGGUAAUACGGAGGGUGCGAGCGUUAAUCGGAAUUACUGGGCGUAAAGCGCGCGUAGGUGGCUUGAUAAGCCGGUUGUGAAAGCCCCGGGCCCAACCUGGGAACGGCAUCCGGAACUGCCAAGCUAGGUUGCAGGAGGGAAAGGUGGAAUUCCCGUUGUAGCGGUGAAAGGCGUAGAGAUCGGGAGGAAUACCAGUGCGAAAGGCGCCUUUCUGGAUGGCCACUGCCCCGAGGUGCGAAAGCGUGGGUAGCAAACAGGAUUAGAUACCCCUGUAGUC